rnacentral:rRNA from 1 species
AAAAUAGCUACCACAUCCAAGGAAGGCAGCAGGCGCGCAAAUUACCCACUCCCGAAACGGGGAGGUAGUGACGAUAAAUAACGAUGCGGGACUCAAUCGAGGCCCCGUAAUUGGAAUGAGUACACUUUAAAUCCUUUAACGAGGAUCAAUUGGAGGGCAAGUCUGGUGCCAGCAGCCGCGGUAAUUCCGGCUCCAAUAGCGUAUAUUAAAGUUGUUGCAGUUAAAAAGCUCGUAGUUGGAUCUCAGGAUUUGGAUGGAUGGUUCGCUUUCGGGCGCUACUAUCUGUCUGACCUACUCUAGUCGUGGAUGCCUUGGGUGCUCUUAAUUGAGUGCUUUUGGUGCCCGACGCAAUUACUUUGAAAAAAUUAGAGUGCUCAAAGCAGGCGUAUUGCCUGAAUAGUGUUGCAUGGAAUAAUGAAAUAGGAGUUUACUUCUAUUUUGUUGGUUUUCGGAGGUGAACUAAUGAUUAACAGGGACAGACGGGGGCAUUUGUAUGGAGGGGUUAGAGGUGAAAUUCUUGGAUCCUCUCCAGACAAACUACUGCGAAAGCAUUUGCCAGGAAUGUUUUCACUAAUCAAGAACGAAAGUCAGAGGUUCGAAGACGAUCAGAUACCGUCCUAGUUCUGACCAUAAAUGAUGCCAUCUAACAAUCCACGAAGUUUGCUUGUACGAACUCGUGGGCGGUCCCCGGGAAACCAAAGAUUUUGGGUUCCGGGGGAAGUAUGGUUGCAAAGCUGAAACUUAAAGGAAUUGACGGAAGGGCACCACCAGGAGUGGAGCCUGCGGCUUAAUUUGACCCAACACGGGAAACCUCACCCGGCCCGGACACUUUUAGGAUUGACAGAUUGAAGGCUCUUUCUUGAUCAAGUGGUUGGUGGUGCAUGGCCGUUCUUAGUUGGUGGAGCGAUUUGUCUGGUUAAUUCCGAUAACGAACGAGACUCUACUCUGCUAAAUAGAACGUUGAUAUAUAAAAGUCAGUGCUGACUUCUUAGAGAGACUAACGGCGUUUAGCCGUGUGAGAAAGAGCAAUAACAGGUCUGUGAUGCCCUUAGAUGUCCGGGGCCGCACGCGCGCUACACUGACUGCAGCAACUAGUAUGCUCCUGGUUUGAAAAAACUGGGUAACCUGGUUGAAUUGCAGGCGUGACAGGGAUCAGAGUUUGCAAUUAUCCUCUGUGAACGAGGAAUUCCCAGUAAGCGCAUGUCAUUAGCUUGUGCUGAUUACGUCCCUGCCCUUUGUACACACCGCCCGUCGCUACUACCGAUUGAAUGGUUUAGUGAGGUCUUCGGAUUGGUGCUGAUGGAGUGGUUCUCUGCUCUGUUAGUGCCGAGAAGAUGAUCAAACUUGAUCAUUUAGAGGAAGUAAAAGUCGUAACAAGGUU